rnacentral:rRNA from 1 species
AUGGAGAGGUGCGAGAUGGAUGUGGGGAGGAGCGGGCAUGGUGCAGCGGCCGAAGGAGGCGUUGGCCUGGCGGCGGCGGCGGGAGCGGUUGGAGGCGACCACGGGCAUCUGGUCGUCACGGCAGGGGGCGAUGUGGCUGCUCGAGGUCCGGUUCAUCUUGGAUGUCACGGAGGACAGAAUUUUGCAGUGGGCACGAGUGUCCUUGCCUCAUUGGACAUGUUCACUCUCAUAUGGUGA